UACGUGCGACACGUGGACACUACACCAAAAUCUUCAUUUUGGAACGGUUAGGAUUUUGGUUCAGGAACGGCCUAAACCAUUCCUGAUCUGAAAUGGUCUAACCAAAUGUUAAAAUAAAAAUAAAAAAUACCCAUCAGAUUCUCUCUCUGCUCCCAUCUGCUUUUCCUCUCUCAAGAUCUCGCAGCUCCUCUCUCCCUCCCUCUCUCUCCGUCUAUCCUUCUCAUUCUUAGAACCCACAUCCCAUCUCUCUCUCUCUCUCUCUCUCUCUCUCUCUCUCUCUCUCUCUCUGGCAGUGCAACCAUCUUCCCUGUGGCUGUGCAACCAUCACCCAUAUCGUGAAAAUCCGCUAGUGAAAUAGUGAAACAGAGGGUUUGUUCCCCAAAUCACAUAGGGUUUCUUCCCGAAAUCCAGAUCUAGUAACAACCUCCCCCAAACCCUAAUGCCCCAAAAUCCCCAACCCCGUCUCUGCCCUCUCUAGCAACUGCCUCAACCUCCAAAACCACAGUUAGUGGUUCUUUGUUUCUAUUUGGUAAUGGACUAUUUCAUUUGGAAAUCUAUCUUAUACUAUUUAGUUUUGCAUAAGUUUGAUGGUUUGGGUUUUUAUUCUCCACUUGAUUAGCGAGUCAACUUGGAGGUCCUGAAUACUGCAACGACCCUCUUGUGUUUGACAAAAUGCCGAGCCGAGCCUGCUUCCUUAGAAACGUACAUAAAUUGUCUCUGUGAAGAGGGGAAGAUUGAAGAGGCCUCAUACAUGUAUUCAGAAUUGAAGAAGUUCAAUCUCUACUGAAUCUUAUGGUCUGGAAUGUGGUCUUGCUGGCUUCUCUCCUGGCUGGACAAACUAAUAUAGUGUGGGAAUUGUAUUGUAAGAUGAUGGAGUUUGGUGUUGCAGGCAAUCUCGAGACCGUUGGUUGUCCAAUUCGGGGGUUCUGCAAGGAGAAGAAGUUAUUGGAGGGUCACGAGCUUCUUUUGGAGGAUUUGCUGAUUGAUCUUUUAGGGAGCGAACAUGUGUCAAAAUGUUAAGUGUACAAGACCCAAGCUUUCUAUCAGGAAACAGGGCUCAUGAUAUGUUGAUGAUGGUAGAAGAAAUCUUGGCUACUCAGGCAGUGUAUGAUGGAUUAGG